rnacentral:misc_RNA from 1 species
CCGAGUACUCCUGCUCUGCAGGAACUCCCACCCUUGGCAACUCGACGUUGCUUCGGCGAGACGUUGGAAACAGCCGUUGGCAGCAAGAUUUUGAUGCCGCCGACGCGGGCUUGCCGGAGUUCACAGACUCUGAGAUUGUGUAUCGUCAGAUAAACAAGCAAUACAUAA